CCCCCGUUGGGUAGACAUGACAGAUGAUGUGCGACAGCUCAUCCGUCAGCGCCUUCAGGUAAAUUUUAGUAAAUUAAAAUUUAUUUUAUAAAAGUUUAUUUAUGGUUAAGUUAUUUUCUUAAUAAGUUUAUUGCCUUAAUCUAUUAUUUACGAAACUGCAGGAUAAAUUUGACUUGGAUUUAAGUGUUCCGUACAUCUCCCAUGCCAUCGACGACAUGAUCAAGGAGCAGUUCAAGGAUUACCGCGGUAAGUUACACCAGCUGUAGAAGCAGUGCGUGAGCCACGAGGAGGCCGCACUGUCUGCACCGUCGCACGUGACUGAUGAGGACUGACGGAUACUCUGUGAUAGGUUUUCGUCUGAUUCUUUUCAGAAGAGGAGUAAAAUAAAUUCUGACAACAGGGAAAAGUUAGAAGCGAACCACGUAGCUGGUUCAAAGUCAUUUGUACAACUUCGUCACGACAUGCGAGAUUCCGUCACUGACUAGGAGCCCGGACCAGUAGACUUCUACAGAGGGACUCACUGUUGGCAGGUGACGGGAUCUUGAGUACAUCCUAGUGCUAGCGAGAUUUGAGU